rnacentral:rRNA from 1 species
GACGAACGCUGGCGGCGUGCCUAAUACAUGCAAGUCGAGCGAAUGGAUUAAGAGCUUGCUCUUAUGAAGUUAGCGGCGGACGGGUGAGUAACACGUGGGUAACCUGCCCAUAAGACUGGGAUAACUCCGGGAAACCGGGCUAACACCGGAUAACGUUUUGAACCACAUGGUUCGAAAUUGAAAGGCGGCUUCGGCUGUCACUUAUGGAUGGACCCGCGUCGCAUUAGCUAGUUGGUGAGGUAACGGCUCACCAAGGCAACGAUGCGUAGCCGACCUGAGAGGGUGAUCGGCCACACUGGGACUGAGACACGGCCCAGACUCCUACGGGAGGCAGCAGUAGGGAAUCUUCCGCAAUGGACGAAAGUCUGACGGAGCAACGCCGCGUGAGUGAUGAAGGCUUUCGGGUCGUAAAACUCUGUUGUUAGGGAAGAACAAGUGCUAGUUGAAUAAGCUGGCACCUUGACGGUACCUAACCAGAAAGCCACGGCUAACUACGUGCCAGCAGCCGCCGUAA